UAAUAACAUUUUAGAUAGUUAGGUAGGGUAUUAUCGUAAAUUAUUAAUAUUGCCUCCUGUUGCCUACCUAUACUAUACUAAUAAUUUAAAAAAAAAAUCUUAUGAUUAUAAAGCACUGCAUCAGUUAUAAUAGUUAUUUGUUGUUAUUGAUAUUGCAGUUUGAUCGGCCACUUUUAAGUGUGUACACAAAUUAUCACGCUGCUGUUGUAAAUAUUGGAAUGGAUUUUAAUGGCUUUAGAGUUUCAACAACGGGCGGUGUCCAUUGACACGCGUCAUUAAUUCUGUCGGGCGAUAAAAUAUGUUAAUUAACGCGCACUUUUUUUUUUAAUUUUAUUUCAAUACCCACCUACCGCGCCAAAUAGAAUAUAAUAAUAUAGGUAGUCUCAUCGAUUUACGCGAAAAAUCGUAUCGAAAGGUAGCUGACUAAUUAAAAUGGAGAAAAAAAUACGUAAAAACUGCAACACCUGGGUUACAACAGUAGCAAGUUAUACCGCUGAGCUAGCUAAAAAACAAUUGGUAGACUAAAAAAAAAAAAACAACACAGGAACCAGCUAUUGUCGUUGAAAAAUCUACGUUAUUUCGUUAUGAUAUUAUUAUUAAGAUGCUCCGACAAUUUUUUUUUUUUGAUAAGUCAUCAAGAGUUAGAAAAAAAAAACAAUAACAAUAGGUAACCAAUAUUUUUGAAUACGAAGCACUAAAAUACUAUAGGCAUCUGUAAUAUUAUUAUCUCUAUAAACUUUAUAAUAUUAUAAUAGAACAUAACAUUAUAUUACAUCACAUUAAUCUGACAUCAUACGAUACUGUAGUUUUUCGAUUUCCGUCGAAUAAUGAGUUACACGCCGCACUGGGAAUUCAUUAUUUUUGAUAUUAUAAUCCCGCGAUAUUUAAAUCAAUUUGUUCGAAUUAAUACUAUAACAUUAUAGGUACCUACAAA